rnacentral:lncRNA from 1 species
CUCUAGCUAUAAAUGAUCCCUUUUGUACAAUCCCAAUAAUAUCACAAAACAUUAUCACAGGCACCUUUUGCAUACAUUUUAUGUUAAUAAAAAAAAUAUUAAAAAUUCUCUCAUUAAGCUUCCAUGCAGUAAACAGACUGUCAGAGGCAUUGACAGAUAUUAAAAUAUUUAUUACAGUGCAUUUUCCAAGAUGAAUAGAGAGGCUAAUAUAAAGGGACAAUCAAACUCAUUAGUCGAAAAUUAAUUGGCAUUGCCAUAGCAAAAAAAUAAAUAAUAAAUAACUAACAGGACCAAUGUACUACACACUCUUAAUAUAACAUUUUGCUUAUAAUUUUUUUUUCAGUACAGCAAACGGGAAUAAAUUCAUGUACUGUAUCUUUCGUGUAAAUCAAGCAAAGAAUAUUUAUUCACAG